UACGACCACAUUGCGUUGAAACACAGGUUUCCGUACGAUCACCGAAGUUAAGCAAUGUUGAGCCUGGUCAGCACCUACAAGGCUGACGGCUUGGGAAUACCAGGUGCAGUAAG